rnacentral:rRNA from 1 species
AACGAACGUUCGCGGCGCGCCUAACACAUGCAAGUCGAGCGAGAAAGGGCUUCGGCCCCGGUACAGCGGCGCACGGGUGAGUAACACGUAGGCAAUCUGCCCCUGAGUGGGGGAUAACCUUCCGAAAGGAGGGCUAAUACCGCAUGAGACCACGACCCCGCGAGGGGAUGAGGUCAAAGCCGGCCACUUCAUGAAAGCUGGCGCUUGGGGAUGAGCCGGCGGCCCAUCAGCUAGUUGGUAGGGUAAUGGCCUACCAAGGCAUAGACGGGUAGCUGGUAUGAGAGGAUGAUCAGCCACACUGGAACUGAGACACGGUCCAGACUCCUACGGGAGGCAGCAGUGGGGAAUCUUGCGCAAUGGGCGAAAGCCUGACGCAGCGACGCCGCGUGAGUGAUGAAGGCCUUCGGGUUGUAAAGCUCUGUGGAGGGAGACGAGUAAGGCAUGGCUAACAUCCAUGUUGAUGACGGUAUCCCUUUAGCAAGCACCGGCUAACUCUGUGCCAGCAGCCGCGGUAAGAC